rnacentral:rRNA from 1 species
CCUUUCGUAUAGGGAUUUACUCCCGAAAGCGAAAGAGGUUGCAACAAAGAGUCCCUCCCGACUGUUUAUCAAAAACACAGCACUAUGCUAACUCGUAAGAGGAUGUAUAUGGUGUGACGCCUGCCCGGUGCUUGAAGGUUAAUUGAUGGGGUUAGUUCUUCGGAACGAAGCUCUUGAUCGAAGCCCAAGUAAACGGCGGCCGUAACUAUAACGGUCCUAAGGUAGCGAAAUUCCUUGUCGGUUAAAUACCGACCUGCAUGAAUGGCGUAACGAGAUGGGAGCUGUCUCAACCAGGGAUCCAGUGAAAUUGUAGUGGAGGUGAAAAUUCCUCCUACCCGCGGCAAGACGGAAAGACCCCGUGCACCUUUACUAUAGCUUGACACUGCAAUUGGGAUAUAUUUGUGCAGGAUAGGUGGGAGGCUUUGACUCUAUGGCGCUAGCUGUAGAUGAGCUAUUCUUGAGAUACCACCCUUAUAUAUUCUGAUUGCUAACUUGCUUGGGUUAUCCCCAAGGAGGACAAUGUCUGGUGGGUAGUUUGACUGGGGCGGUCGCCUCCUAAAGAGUAACGGAGGCUUACAAAGGUUGGCUCAGAACGGUUGGAAAUCGUUCGUAGAGUAUAAUGGUAUAAGCCAGCUUAACUGCGAGACAUACAGUCGAGCAGAGACGAAAGUCGGUCAUAGUGAUCCGGUGGUUCUGUGUGGAAGGGCCAUCGCUCAAAGGAUAAAAGGUACGCCGGGGAUAACAGGCUGAUCUCCCCCAAGAGCUCACAUCGACGGGGAGGUUUGGCACCUCGAUGUCGGCUCAUCGCAUCCUGGGGCUGAAGCAGGUCCCAAGGGUAUGGCUGUUCGCCAUUUAAAGCGGUACGCGAGCUGGGUUCAGAACGUCGUGAGACAGUUCGGUCCCUAUCUGCCGUGGGCGUUGGAUGAUUGAGGAGAGUUGCCCCUAGUACGAGAGGACCGGGGUGAACGAACCACUGGUGUACCAGUUGUCCUGCCAAGGGCAUCGCUGGGUAGCUA